CCUACGGGAGGCAGCAGUGGGGAAUAUUGGGCAAUGGGCGCAAGCCUGACCCAGCAACGCCGCGUGAAGGAUGAAGGUUUUCGGAUUGUAAACUUCUGUCGCCAGGGACGAAGAAUGACGGUACCUCGUAAGAAAGCCCCGGCUAACUACGUGCCAGCAGCCGCGGUAAUACGUAGGGGGCAAGCGUUGUCCGGAAUGACUGGGCGGAAGGGGAGUGCAGCCGGCUCAUCAAGUUAGAAGUGAAAUCCCGGGGCUGAACCGCGGAACUGCAUCGAGAACUGGGAGGCUGGAGUGCAGGAGGGGUGAGUGGAAGUCCUGGUGUAGCGGUGGAAUGCGUAGAUAUUAGGAGGAACACCGGAGGCGAAGGCGGCUCACUGGACUGUAACUGACGCUGAGGCUCGAAAGCGUGGGGAGCAAACAGGAUUAGAUACCCCUGUAGUC
rnacentral:rRNA from 1 species